GUCUUGAACUACCGACCUCAGGUGAUCUGCCCACCUCAGCCUCCCAAAGUGCUCAGAUUACAAGCAUGAGCCACCACGCCUGGCCUGGGGUUGUAGUUUUCUAGCUUCUGUAUUUACAGAUAGGUCAAGAAGAAAGUUGGGACUCUUAAGUCAGAAUAAGUUAAUAUGGCUAUACAUUUAAAUGCUAAUAAUUCAAUCAUUUUAAAAAGGAGAGAUUGAUCAGGCAUAGUGGCUCAUGCCUGUAAUCCCAGCACUUUGAGAGUUUGAGGCAGGACAGCUGCUGGAUACCAGGAGUUGGAGACCAGCCUGGGCAAUAUAGCAAGACCCCAUCUCUACAAAAAAGAAAAAGUUGGCUUGGUGCGGUGGCUCAUGCCUGUAAUCCCAUCACUUUGGGAGGCCAAGGUGGGCCGAUUGGGCGGAUUGCCUGAGGUCAGGAAGUCAAGGCCAGCCUGGCCAACGUGGCUAAACCCUGUCUCUACUAAAAAAUACAAAAAAUAGCUAGGCAUGGUGGUGGGUGCCUGUAAUCCGAGCUGCUCGGGAGGCUGAGGCAAGAGAAUUGCUUGAACCUAGGAGGUGGAGAUUGCAGUGAGCCGAGAUCGCGCCACUGUACUCCAGCCUGGGCAUCAACAGUGGAACUCGCGGAGCUUGCAGUGAGCUGAGAUAGUGCCACUGAACGCCAGCCUGGGCGACAGAAAGAGACUCCGUCUCAAAAAAAAGAAAAAAAAAUAGAUAAAAUUAAGUUGGGUUUUCUUUUUU
rnacentral:lncRNA from 10 species